AUGCACAAGUGUGCACGCUCGUGGGCGCAUGUGUCCAGAUGCGUAGGUGUGCACAUGAGCAUGCAGCAGUACACGUGUGCACAGCUACCGUCUAUGUGUGUGCGCGUGCAGGCACUGGGCCGGGCGUCCAGGGGAUGGGGCCCCACCGCGGGGAGCGCGGAAGGCGACCUCGAGCCCCCGAAACUGCCAGGGCCUCUCCCUGCCGCCGGCGUGGCAGAACGUCCGUGGAAGGCUCCGGCGACUUCGAUGCCCCGGCAUGUGUGCACCUGCCCGGGUCUGCUCUGGCUCCCGCGUGUACCCGUCAGGGGAGCCCAGGCGGGAAGGGUACCUGCGGGGGGCCCAGGGGUGUCGCGGAUUUUCUCAGGUCUGCAGUCUUGGGCCCGUGAGUGGAGCCCCCGAGAAGCCCAGAUGCAGAGAUGCCCGGGGGCUCGGGGGCUGAGCAUCUGCCUUGGGCCCAGGCCGUGACCCCAGGGCCUGGGAUCGAGUCCUGUGUGGUCUCCCUGCAAGGGAGCCUGCUGCUCCGUCUGCCUGGGUCUCAGCCUCUCUGCAUAUAUGGCACUGUGACGCCCCUGGCUUCCCGGCUGUGCGUCCACAUGCGGGAGGCUCGGGCCGGGCUCCGACUGCUGCCCAGGGCCCCUCGCCCGCGUGCGGUCCUGAAUGUGUGCGUCCGCAGGGACUUGGGCUGCACCCCGUCCACAGCGCUUCUCUGGCCUCCGUUGAGCGUUCCGGUUGGGGCCGGAGCAGACACAGCAGCUGCUUCCCUGCCUCACCAGGUCUGGCCCCAUCCCUGCUGCGUGCCACCCCGGCUGACCCGCAGUCACCCCGCAGAGCAAGCUCCAUCCUCCUGAGUUAGAGGUGGGUAAACUGAGGCCACGGGAGGCGGCGCUUCGCCCUCAAGGAGACAGAAUCCAUAUUCAAGUCCUGCUCUGCUCUUUCUGUGCUGGUUCAGGGCAACGGGGAGCAGGACCCCAAGUUGCUGAAACCAGCAGGUGACAUUAGGGACGAAGGCCCUGGAGGCGGCGUUUGUCCGUUUAAAACAUUCCUAACAAACAAACAAGACAGAACUAUGGCAGAGACUGUGACCCAUCGGGUAACUUCCACUCUUGCUUCAGAACUUUCUGGGCGCUUGCACACCUGGGGACCCUGGGCAGGAGGCCGCUGGAGCCCAGGUUGCAGACCAGGAAACCGAGGCCUGGGUGUUCAGCGAGGCGAGAGGUCCCACUUGCUCCUGCCCAGGGUGCUGACGUCACGCAGGUGCCCCCCAGCAGCCCCACCUCUGCCCAGGGAGUGGGCCCCGCACCGGCCAGUCUCCCCUUGGGCCCCCCCACCCGGCCCCUGUCUGUGAUCCUGAGGACUGCCAACGGUCCCUGUGGUGCUUCUAGGCACGUCUCCUUGGUGAGACCCAUCUGCUUGCAGAGCCCGUUGGGUUUAUGGGCACAAGGAUGAGGCUUCAAGAAGAGGGUAGGCUGGAGGGAAAGAUGGGGGUGGGGGCGCGGGGGUGUGAGCGCAGGUCUGUGCAGGGGGGUGGAGGGCCCAGCCCUCAGGAGGGUCAUGCACUGAAAGGCGUGGAUGAAAGGGCGGUGAAGGAUGCGGGGCCCUGGGGCACGUACAGUCACGAUAAGUAGCACAUAAUAAGUUCGGUUUACAGGGAAAGUGAGCCGAAGGGAGACUUGUACGCCCCCCCCCCCCGCCCCCGGGUCUGGACAGGGGUCCUUGCAGAAUCACGGGGUCGGCACGCCGCCCUGCACAUCCCGAGCUCCCCUAUUCCUCCUCCUUGGCCCCCAGCGCCCGACAGCAGGGCGUGUGGCUUUCCAGCACGUCCCCGCCACCGUCCGCCAUGGAACCUUCGCAGCUUGCCCUCUGUCCCUUAGUGACGCUCGCUGCGGGCGUCACAGCUCCUUCCUUCUUAGCGCCGAACGGUCUUUCCCCGUCGGGAUGGAGCAUGGUUGACCACCCGCUCAUCCGGUGAGGGGCAUCGUGGCCGCCUGCAAGCUUCGGCGACUGUGAAGCGCGUGGGCCAGGUUCGGCGUGGACAUGAGGCCGUGACCUCGCUGGGGUCAGCACCUGGGGCUCGAUCGGCGGGUCGCACGGUAAGAGUAAGCUUAGUCCUCUACGAAACCAGCACACCGGCCUCCAGAGUGGCUGCGCCAUCCUGCGUUCCCGGCCCGGCGGGUGAGCGUUCUAGCUGCUGCACGCCCUCGCCGGCUCUGGGGGUCAUCAGUGUCCUGCAUGUGGUUCUAACAGGGCUGCCGCCGUGUCCCAUAGUUUUUAUUUACGGUUCCCUGAUGACGCAUCACGUGGGGCAGCUCUUCAUGAGCUUCUCGACCCUCUGCAUGUCUUCUCCGGCGAGUACCUGCUCAGACCUGUUGCCCAUUUUUAGUCGGGUUGCUGUUUUCCUCUUGUUGAGUUUUAGGAGUUCUUUGCAUAUUCUGGCUAUGGGUCCUUCAUCGGAUGUGCGUCUUGCAAAUACUUUUGAUCGGCGGCUCAUCUCGUUGUCCUGACGGCAUCUUUCCCGUAACGCAAAUUUUAAAUAAUAAUAAAAGGCCAUCAGUAGUUUUUUUCUUUCACGGCGUUGUUUCGUUAGUGUCGCAUCUAAAGAGUCCCGCCAAACCCAGGGUCACUUAGGCUUCCAUCCGUGUUAUCUUCUAAGAGUUUUAUAUUUUUUCUAUUUUGAAUUGAGGGGUGUGACCCAUUUUGAGUGAAUUUUUGUGAAGGCUGUAAGGUCUGUGUCUACAUUCAUUUAUUUUCGCGUGGACGUGCAGUAGUUCCAGUGCCAUUUGACGAAAGGGCCAGCUUGGUUCCCUUGGGUUGUCUGUGCAAUUUGGUCAAUUUGGUUAAUUAAUAAAUGAUAAUAAAAUUAAAUAAUAAAAUUAAAUAAAAUAAAAUAAAAUAAAAUAAAAUAAAAUAAAAUAAGAUCCGUUGACUAUAUGGACGGGGGCCUACUUUUGGGCUCUGUCCUAUUCCAUGGGUCUGUUGGUCCCGUCUUUCACCGAUGGCUUGCUCUGGUUCUGGAGAAAGUCUUCAGGCCGAGCAACGCCAGUCCUCAGGCUUGGUUUUUCAGCUUCGGUCCUGCUGCCCUUUGCGGGGUGUUUGCCCUUUUCAUGUGAACCUUGUCGACAUCGACAAAGUAAUUGCUGGGAGUUUGACUGUAAGUGCCUUGAACCCACAGACCAACUCGGGAAGAGCCAAUAUCCUGGCGACAUCAAGUUGUCACACAUGCGAACUCCAUCUUCCAGUUCCUUUGCUCUUUCUGUAGAGAAAAAAAAAAUCACUUUGAUGAAAGACUCAAUUUCUGAAAAUCCUUAAAAGAGGAACAAAGUAAACGAACUCUGGUGGAAGAAUGCGACGAUCCCCACAUUGCAGGCGUAAUUCACAGAAGCAAAUUACGAAAAGAUAUAGGAUUUGGGGAUUUUGGGGGGGGCAGCGGAUGCACAGAAUGUGAAUUUAAGAGACGACUGUUCUGCACAUUUUAGCUAGAGACCUCCACUCAGGUCUGCGGCUAGCUUCCGACAAUUUUAUUAAGCUCAUUAUUGGAAUGCAUUGAGAAACCAUCUCUGGAGGACUCACGUGCUUCAAAAUUAAAACCAAACGAAACCCAAACGCCACCGGUGGCGGCGGUGUGGAAGCUGGCUGUGC
rnacentral:lncRNA from 1 species